rnacentral:lncRNA from 1 species
UCGUACAGUUACAUUAUAUAUACAAGAUGUCAACGACAAUGCACCAGAAUUCAGAAAUUUGCCGUACAAGGCAACAGUUUCAGAGAACACAAAAGUUGGUUCCGUUAUAAAGAGCGUCUCUACAUAUGACCCCGACAAUGGCCCGGGUGGAUCAGUAACGUAUUCACUACAGGCAAUCGGUCAGUCUGGGAGACCAGAUUACCAUUCAACGUUUAGCAUCGAUCCUAUUAGUGGCGACAUAACACUUGUGAAACCCUUAGAUUACGAAGCUCAUACAUUUUACCAGUUUGAAAUCGUAG